AGUAAUACAUCGGAACGUGCCCUGUAGUGGGGGAUAACUAGUCGAAAGAUUAGCUAAUACCGCAUACGACCUGAGGGUGAAAGUGGGGGACCGCAAGGCCUCAUGCUAUAGGAGCGGCCGAUGUCUGAUUAGCUAGUUGGUGGGGUAAAGGCCCACCAAGGCGACGAUCAGUAGCUGGUCUGAGAGGACGAUCAGCCACACUGGGACUGAGACACGGCCCAG
rnacentral:rRNA from 1 species